UACGAAGGGGGCUAGCGUUGCUCGGAAUUACUGGGCGUAAAGCGCACGUAGGCGGCUUUCUAAGUCAGGGGUGAAAUCCUGGAGCUCAACUCCAGAACUGCCUUUGAUACUGGCAAUCUCGAGUCCGGGAGAGGUGAGUGGAACUGCGAGUGUAGAGGUGAAAUUCGUAGAUAUUCGGAAGAACACCAGUGGCGAAGGUGACUCACUGGCCCGUUACUGACGCUGAGGCACGAAAGCGUGGGGAGCAAACAGG
rnacentral:rRNA from 1 species